CAUUGAACUCAGGUUGUCAGCCUUGAACAACACUUAGAGCUGAGCCAUCUUGCCAAACCAUUAACUUAUUGAUAAAUGUGGUCUUGAACUUGUAUUAUAACUCUUGCCUAUGUAGCAGCUGAUAUAUGUCACAGUAUAGAUUGUGACAUCACUCUUCCAAGUUCUGUAACACACUGUUGCCAUGGUUAUGUGAUUAUGUAUAUUUGUGCCUCAGUUCUGAAUUUCAGUGUUGUUGAGACUUCUCAACUAGCAUCUGGGAUAAUAUAAACUGUUAUUUUUGAUUGUGGUAAAUGUUUAAAAUGGGCAAUAACUGUACCUGCAAAGAGGACAGCCUGUUGACAGCCCCACAAAAAGAGUCAGCAAGGUCAUCGAAGGUUGUGCUGAGGGAAAAACGUAUCGUAUGUAUUGAGGAGCCACUCUCUUAAGACACAUUUUAGAUAAGAAAUUUACAAGUACUGCCUGUCUUUUCUCAGGUGCACUACUACAAUUUCUACCACCUGCUCACAGUAACGCUUGAGAUUUUUAGAUAAAGAAACACACACAUACACACACACACACACACACACACACACACACACGCACACGCACACGCACAUGCACAUGCACACGCACACAGUGAUAUCCCAAAUAACAAAUUGUAAGCAUGUUUACUAUGCAUGCACUUAGUUGUAAUCAUUUUAGUUUGAGAUUUUAUGCACCAGGAUGUGUCUAUAUCUGUAUUUCUCCUAGGUAGAAAUCCCAGUCAUUUAAACCCAAUAUCAAUUUCUCCAAUGAGAAAAAAAUUAAAGUGCACAUUUUCCCUAUAUUAGUUUAGAACUCAUCACAGCCAUGCAUGCUGGCAUUAUUUCUUUGUGAACUCUGUCAUAGAAGAAUCAACCAAGACACAGAGGUAAGUGGUUGAGAUGUGUGACUACAUAGGCCAAGAACCACCAUUGCAUACAUAAACUUAGGGUCCAGUAUCAGUGCUAUGAGAUGAAACUUCCACUUACUACCCUAUCAAGAUACCAUUAGUCACUGUAGAAGGUUUCCAGCCCCUAGCUGGACCUCAAACAAAUCAAAUCUCCAGAGAUAGAAAGUAACAGCAACAAUCAAAACCCAUUUUAGCAUCCAUGCACCUGGGUGCAGCCUUCCACAAGAGUGAAAGCCAGAGAAAGCCCACAUGUGUGGGAAAAUAGCUCUCUUGGUAAAAUGUCUACCUGUGAUGCAGGAGGCCCUCAGUUAGGUCUUUUGUAACACAUAAACCUGAGUGGUAGCACACAAAUCUAUAAGGAGCUGGUAUUUAUUCUCACUCUCUGACAGUUUCUGGUCCUCCUGGCUGUACAAUGAGGCUAUGUCUAAUGACAAUAACAAAAUGGGAACCAGAAAUGACAAGCAGGAGAAGAGCUGACCUUAGAGCUGACCUUCCACCAGUGAGAGCAUUGAUUUUAACAGUCAAAGUCACAGCAAAGAAAAACAAAUUGUAUAUGUGUCACGACUGAAAUUCUAGAAAUAACAGGUUCCAGUAAGAACUGGUGAAAUGCUUUAGCUCAUUCUCAGGAGCUCAAAGCACCACACAAUUUAGGGCGUAUGUCUACUAAAAAGAGAAAGAAAAGAAAUAAAUAAAAAGAGAAGCCUCCAAUCGAUAUAGUCUCCUUCUUUUAACCAACCCCAUUUAAAGAUGAGUUAGACUCUGCUCUAAAAGUAUUUGCUCUUACUGAUGGUCAGUCUCCAUGUUGACUGAUGAGAACAUAGAGAGCCUAUCUAUUCAGCAUUUGCAAACAGUCAGCACUGAAUGGUAUGACUGGGUGUCAUACCAGGAUGUGUCUGUCUGUUCAGGCAUUUGCUAAGGAGGGCUUUAGUUCAGAGGAAGCAGGACUGUGUGUCCUGCCCCUGGGUAGCCAGUGAACGGAAACAAAAUUUGUUUAGUAAAAACUGGACUUCAUUGAGGAAGGAGUGAAUAGGGAAGACACAUACUGAUCAGUGAUAAUGCAGCCCUCGCUCAGAGGCAGGCCUGGUCUGGCUGUAGAGACUGCUGCCAAAGGUAAUUGUCAGCGAGAAAGUGGAAUGCGCACACUCAGUCCAUUAAGUCACAGUGAUCUAGGCGUCUUGUCCUGCCAGUUUAUGAGGAAGGUUUAUUCGGGGUUGAUCAGUUGAAAGAUAGUGUUGUUUUCCUCCCCACCAUCACGUGACAACUGUGUUGGCAUGAUCUGGCCUCUGAGUCAUUGUGGCAGACAGACAGAAGGGGUCCCGUGUCCAUGGACUGAGCUAUUAGAGACUACAGGGAGGCAUCAUGAAGGUGGUGGCAGACACAGGUACCACCAAAAGGAGUCUAAGCAAUGUUAAGCCCUCACAUGACAGUGGGAGAUCUACAGCAGAGCCCCACGGAGACGCAGGAAGCCCUGGCAGCACUACUGAAGGAACUGUGGGAACUCAGGAACUAAUAUGGAUGAGGGCAAUGAUGCCAACGACUUGAUACUGAUGAUCUCAAACAAGUUGACUCUGAGAAGGACAUGGAUGGUGAGAAGAGUGGUUAUCUUGGUCGUAGUGGUAGGUAGUAAUGGCGUUCCUGGUCAGAUCCAAUGGGAGGGUCUAGGAUUAGUCACGUUAUUCCUUCUCCUUGGAUAUUUAGGAGAGAAUGUUAGUUUGAAAGGUCUUCCAAGUGGGCAAGAAGCAAUGAUAAAACUUUAUUAUUAAUUAUUAUAUUUAGUUGUUGUUCUCAUGUUAUGACCAAACACCUGACAAGCACUUUAAUUGAGAAAGGGUUUAUUGUGGCUAGUAGUUAAAGAGAUGAUUCCAUUAUUGUGGGGAAGCCAUGGCAGCUGGCAUGGAAGGUGUAUUAGCCAGUGUAGGCAGCCAGUUGUUUACAUUGCAUCCACUGUCAGGAGGCAGUGAGUUAACAGAAGUGUGGCUGGGCUCCAAGGCCUAAAAGUUUUCCCAGAGACUCACUUCCUCCAGGGAAGAUCCACCUCCUGCUGGAGGCAAUCCCUUUUCAAGCCACACCACCAGCUAGGGACCAAGAAUUCAAACACAUGAAGCUAUGGGGACAUUUAACACACAAAUCAAACACACAGUAUGAUGUAAGGUCUUGUGUAGAUUGACCAUCUCAUGUCACAUAAUCUGGACUCUAGGUAGAAAGGCAGGGGCUCAGCUUCUUAUUUCACUCUUUGUAACCAUUCUUCAAGGAAGACAAUAUACUCCAAGGACAAAGAAGUGAUAAUUUCGUGUGGUCCAGCAUUUAAUGUAGAUUGUUCUCAUCUGGGUAGUUAAAGAUGUUCCUUCCCUGAAUUGUUGUCCUAUUCAUGCUCUCAUUAGUUCUUUUCUGUGUUCUACCCUCUGUCAUACUGUUCUGGUUUGUUUUCUGUUGCUCUGAUAAACACCUAACUAAGGGUAACUUGGGGGAAGAAAGGAUUGAUUUCAUCUUAAGUUAUAGUCCAUCAUGGAGAGAGUUAAAGCAGAAACCUGGAGGCAGGGAGGUAGAGACCAUGGAGGAACGCUUACUGACUUGACCUCUCUGGCUUGCUAAGGUACAUUUAAUACACAUCUCUGGCCACCCUGUGAAAGAACAGCACCACCCACAGUUGGCUAGGCUCAUCUUUACCAAUUAGCAAGCAAGAAUAUGCCCCACAUCAAUUUCCACAGGCCAAUCUGAUGGUGGCAAUUCUCCAGUUUAGGUCCCUCUUUCCAGGUGUGUGAAGCUGACAGUGGAGACUGACAUCACAAAUAACCCCUUAUCAACUCAACACACAAACACAUUGCUGUUAAAUUCAAAUCAUAACCUUUUCUUUAUUUUUUGUCCCCAAGAUCUCACAUUAAUAUUAUAUAUAAAAUACUGUACCAUCUUAAAAGUCCCAUGAUCUUGAAAUAAUUCCAACCAUGUAAAAGUCCAAAUUCUCUUUAAGAAUCCAAAGUCUCUUAACUAUAGGCUCUUGUCAAAUAUAAAAGAUGUUAUAUACCUUGCUUUCUUUAGAAGGAAGAAUCAGGGCACAGUUACAUGAAAACACAAUUGAAAUCCCAUAGUUUAAGACACUCAGUGCCAAGUAUCUACGACCCACUCAAUCCUGUGUCCUGGGCAGUUCAUACUUCUCUGGUUCUAGCAGCAGCAGCGCACACACCUUGUCUUGUAGACUCACGCCAGUUCCACUUCACACCUGCUAAUAACCCCACAGAGUCUCUAUUGCUGUGCAAAACUUCACGGCUCAGACCUGUAUUGUCUGCCUUCAGCAUUAUUUUUGAAACUCUGACAAACCAACCUAUUAAGCUCUGAGCACUCAAUGGCUCAAGUUAAGUUCCGCAUGCUCCCACAAUCCUCCUCAAAAUAAACUGAUCAGGUCUAUCACAGCAAUAUUUCACUUUUCCUGCUGCUGACUUCUGUGUUAGUAUCUUUUCUGUUGCAGUAAUAAAACAUCAUCAGCAAAAGGUACUUAAAAAAGAAAGUGUGUCAAUCACUUGCAUUUCCAGAGAUAGAACCUGUAAUGGUAGGAGAAGCCCAGGAGCAUAAGAGCCAGAGCAGGAAGCUGGGAGAUCAAAUAUUCAACCAUAUUCAGAAAGUAGAGUCGGGGCUGCAAGUGGGGAGAGGCUGUACACUUUCAACACCUACUCCCAGUGAUGCCCUUUGGUCGGCAAGACUCCAGGACCUUAAUGUUCUAUGACCUCUCCAAAUACCACCACCAACUGGGGACCCAGAUAGUCAGAUACAUGAGCUUUUCCUAUUGAAACCACCAUAUUAUGCUCUGGCCCCUUAGACACAUGGCCAAGUGACAUUAAACAAAGCAUAAAAGUCCUGUGACUCUAUCAAUGAUAAUGUGGUAAUCCAUUAUUUAUA